GACGUAGGGGGCGAGCGUUGUCCGGAAUCAUUGGGCGUAAAGCGCGUGUAGGCGGCCCGGUAAGUCCGCUGUGAAAGUCCAGGGCUCAACCCUGGGAUGCCGGUGGAUACUGUCGGGCUCGAGUCCGGAAGAGGCGAGUGGAAUUCCUGGUGUAGCGGUGAAAUGCGCAGAUAUCUGGAGGAACACCGGUAGCGAAGGCGGCAUCCUGGACCGGCAUUGACGCUGAGGCGCGAAAGCCAGGGGAGCAAACGGG
rnacentral:rRNA from 1 species